rnacentral:lncRNA from 1 species
AGCCAAGCGGCUGGGUUUAACUACUAGUAGUCCAACAGACUUUUUUUUAUUUUAGUUUUUAUUCUAAUGUUUAAUCUAUUUUGGUUUAUAUAUUUAAAGUAACAUCAAAUAAUAAAUGACCAUGAGUGGUCUGGUGGAGAGGGGUAGUAUCAUAGUCUUGAGUGGGGUGGGUUCAAUACUCAUGUGUAGCAUUUUUUUGGCAUUUUAUUUCUUUUAGCUAUUUUAUUUUCUUUUAGCAUUUUCAUUUCUUUUUAUGUUUAUGCCUUUAUUAUACUCAUAGUUUCAUUUGUUAAUAAUGCAAAUUUGUUUUCUUUUAAUUUCAUCAUUCAUUCAAAACCAUUUUUAAACUUAUAAAAAUCAUAUUUUUCUCGAUUUAAUAUCGAGCCCAUUUUCACACCCUUGUAAGUCGAUUGCUUUUUAAGCAUCGCCAUCAACCUCACAUAGCUUACUCUUGGGCUUUCUCACAAUGAGCCGGUUCUCUUGCACUUACACUCAUAUUUCGCAUCAUUUUUUGUUUGGGCCUGAUCUAAUUAUUUCAUUGAUUUUGAAUCCCCC